CUGACGACGUGGAUCUAAUGACAUCAUCAAAGUUCAAAGGACAAACGCUAGGUCCUAAUACAACAUCAGUGAAUUCAGAGAGGAAACCACAGAGAGACGGUGAUGCAACAUUUUAAAUGAUUGUAGCAGGUUAACACUCAGACCUGGUACUGUUAGUAUAAACCAGACCUUUGGUUUCGCACGGGAAGGGAAACACCUUGAUCUGAAAUGAACGCCAGAGGAGACGGGCGACACAUUGGGAAAAAUAGUCCUUGUUGGUUCAUUUUGCCCAUAGGAGAUUUGCCAGCAGCGAAUCAGCUGACCAACAGGCAGAUCGCCACCUUGGACUAUUUUGUGCAACUGGGAAGAAACGACAAUGAGCUCAGGCAAAUACGGAUGUUUUUGCACGACAUCAGUCAGCUGAGAAUGUUACGGGAACUUCACCGUCUGCAGCAGGACUAAAGGCCGCGCCGAGGCUCGUACACGGCUGUGAUGACAUCACAUGACACUAUGACAUCACAGAAGAUCAAAGGACUAAGACUUCAUAUUUUAUCAUGUCAAAAACACCUCCACUAGGGGGAGCCCACCACCAUUAGACAGGAAGCAGGAAGGAAGGGAAACAGAAGGAAUGAGUAAUAAAUUAAACAGAAGGCAAUAAUGAAACACCGCUGCUGCCAACUGUGGGUCAAGUCCACUGUUUACCAACAAACUGACCGACCAACUGACCAACCGAGGAGGUAAAAGAGGGGGGAGCUGACAAGUUACAGAGUUACACUUUAGCAGCUCUGCUCAAUAUGAAUCCAUACGGCGACGGACGACACAACGCAAGAAACAGUCCACGUUGGUACAUUUUACCCAGAGGUAAUUUGCCACCAGCUAAUCAAUUAACCAAUGUGCAGAUCGCGAUAUUGGACUACAACGUACAAAUGGGGAGAACUGAUCAACAAAUCCGAGAAAUGAGGACAUUUCUCCAAAAUCUGACUCAACAGAGGGCGGAGCUGCGACUUUACCGUCUGCAGCAUCUGCAACGGAACUGGAGGAUUUGACCAGGCUGAUUAUAACAAGCUGGCAUUUAGGAUGAGGAACCUCAACACUGAUGCGAUUGCGUGAGCCAAAAAGAUCGGUUCUGCACAGACCAGGGACGUAAACGGUGAGGUGGGGGGGUUAAAGGAUCAUCUAUCUUUAAAAGUCAACUGAUACGAGCUCUCUUAAAAACCAUCCAUGGGCUGAAGAAAUUAUUAGCGAUGUAAUGUUUUACAGUUUCAUGUCAUAAUAAAAUCAUAAUAUUUUGGACA